GAUAAGUGGUGAGAGCGUGUGUGAAGAAGUAUACCCCUGCAAGGUGAAUUAAUCUGUUCUAAUAGACAUGCCCUUGGAUAUGGACUACUUGGAAACAUUAUGUGGUACAUAGACAACUUGGAAUGGAUACUCUAAAACACGCAAGAUAAGUGUGAGUGCUAUGGAUGGCCUUCUUGUAGGAAGACGGGAAUGGAUCUAUAGUGGUGUAUUGAUUUGGUGAAUAUGUGGACUCGUGUGCACUACCCCAAAUCAAAGAAAGUGUUCAUGGUCGUAGUAUAGUUUAGCCAAGAGUCAAUGCUGGCUUGCUGCAAUUAAACUCCACAACCCCCUUUGUUGACAAUGAUGCAUAUGUAGCUAGUUCUGAUGUAAGUCUUGCUGAGUGCCUUUGUACUCACGGUUGCUUAAUUUAUGUUUUUGCAGAGGAGACAUUAAUCUCAUUAAUGGAUCUACAUGAUGUGUACGGUGUUGACCGGAUUAGCUUGGGAAUCCCAGACAGAGGUGUGGCUCCUAUGAUAGGGUCGUUGUAGCUUUUUAGGCUCUUUCAGCCAUUUUUAAUAGAUUUCUGUACCCAGACAUGUUGUGCUUCCGCUUGAUGCUUGUAUGACUUGAGUGUUGGAUCAUGUGACCCCUGUUUGUAAUAUCACACUACGUUGGCUCUUAUGAGUCUUUAAUAAAUGCUUGAUUCGUAGAGUUGUGUUGUGAUGCCAUGUUGUAUCUACACAUAUCGUACAUAUUGUGUGUAUGUUUUGAAAUGCAUUGUAUGUGUGGGAUUCAACACCU
rnacentral:lncRNA from 1 species